GUUAAUUACCUUAAGGUCGCUUUGAGGAACUUGAAGAACAAGUCUGGAUGCUCCCAAAAUAGAAUCUUCAAAACAGAAUCUUCCUGUUAUGCUUUCUUUAAAACUGAAAAACAAGAUGACAAAAAGAAAGAAUGUGGUAUUUCAAGGCAAGAUUUCACCUGAGGAAAAGGACUACAUGAAAUUGAUUACAAAUUCAACCUAUAUUUACUAUAAAACAAACAAUAUUUCCACUUCAAAUUCAAUUCAAGAAUCAAGAAGGACUUAUUUCAUCUUCACCAAAGGUUCAUCAGAGGUUUGUAAACCAUUUGGCAAGAUGUUAGUUGUGCCUUAUUCUAUUUGUUCAGUCUUAUUCAGUAAUAUAGUACCUGUCACAUAACUACAUGAAAAACUAACUAGGCAAACCUGGUGGGUGGAUUCUAUGAGAAGUGAUGUUGAUAGUAAAUUCUACAUUCUACAUUCCUUUUUAGAACAUUUGAUUAGUUGAUAUUAUAACAAUAUUGUAUAAUAAUUAAAAUAUCAAAAAUAUUUGAGUAGUAAUCACUAAGUGACCUCUUUGGAUCACAUGCCUUGUGGGAUUUAAAAAGUACAUAAUAUAAAAAAACAAAAAAUAAAAUAAAAAAAGCAAUAGGUUAAUAAUAAUGGUAAAUCAAAUUAUAUUUCUUGUUAGCCAAACCAGAUUAAAUUAGCUGAUACUUCUGUCUGUUAGCCACCUGAUAAACGUCACGUCCAUACGUAUGCGCAUGAGCAUGAGCAAGAGCAUGAGUAUGUGGAUGUGGAUGCCAUUUUGACUCCGCUCAGCAACGUGGACCGGUCUCGAUAACUUAGUUGCUGUCAAGAAACGGUUUUAUUUUUUUUAAAUAGUUAAACUGCCACAAUUGUAAGUUUGGUGGUUGCUAUGAAAAAACGAAAUACCAUGGGACACAGUUUGUACAUCAUCUCUGUGUUUCUGCUAUAUAUCACAGGUUCUUGCUCUUCUUCUGUGGGCAGAGUUGAGGGUUUUGUUGGAGGCUCUGCUGUCUUUUCUUGUUCUAUCCCUGAAACUGAGAUUAGGGACAACAUAAAAGAAUUCAACCUACAUAUGAGAGACAAUGAAGGAAAGAUUCUCUGUGACAUAAUUGGGGGCAACAGAAUAUGUCAAGAUCAAGCUCCAGAGUACAAGAACCGAACUGAAAUAUUGCCCACUGAUCAAAAGGAGGGUAACUUCACCAUCAAACUCAACUGGCUUAAAAAAAACGAUGCCAGGAAGUACACCUUCAUCUUCACAGGGCCAUUUCAAAAUGAAAUUUACUUCAAGCUUGAUGUCAAAGAUAUACCAGAAGGAAGAGGGAACCAUGGAGGACUACCUGGACAACUUCCAUCAAUUGUGUAUUUUUUAAGCAUUUUUUUCCCAUUUGGCUUUCUGAUUUUUAUGUUAAAUUUCUGUUUAGUUCUGUUAUAGUGUAGAGAUCAGAUCAAUUAGCCAAUAAUGGAAGUAUUUUUUACUCUGUUACAGCAUUUUUUCAAGUAUCUGUACUUUGAGUUAUUUACUACAUUCCAGAAAAUAAUGUGUUAAUCCUCUGUAUUUCAAAAUGAUCAGAACUGAUCUGGUAGCAUUACAGCUGACUUGAGUUUUAAAAAUGUCACUACCUCAUGUGACAUUUCACUAGUAUUUUGCUGCCCAGCCCUAUAUAUAUAUUUGUUAAGUUAUAAACUUAGAUUUCUUUUGCAAACUUGUGUUUUUUAUGAACCUUUGCGAUAUUUCAUUCCAGAUAUUUCAAUGGCACACAACUUGUAUUCAUCAGUGUUUGUAUUAAGUAUGAAACUAACAAUUUCAGAGUCAUUGUCAUUUCUGUCAAUGUCAUGUGUGCAAUUAAAACAGUGUAACAUCAAUCCUGCUAAUAAACUGAUUAAUACAUA